UGAGAAAAUAUGAGUGGGUCCAGCUUAACCCACUUACUUCCUAGAUGAGGAAACUGAGACCAGAAAAGCAAAGUGACUUGCAAGUGUCACACAGAGAGAUGUAGAUGUGUCUGUCCCCUGCUUCCUUCCUCUCAGCCUAGUGCUUUUCUGUCACAUUAGAUGACAUGCCCUGUGAGGUCUAACAGAAGUGCCAAAGGUGGCUGAAGAACAGAAGUGACUACAGCAGGAUGCGUGAUCAGACAGAGCUCAUGCUUAAGAGUACAAUAGAGAGGACUGAUUUCUUGUUAGAUGGGAAAUCUUGAGUACUUUGGUAUCACAUCUUCUUCAUCACCCCAAACAGGAUGAAAUCAAGGCAAGGAAGCUGGUGUUGGGUGUCCUGAAAGCUGCUGCAGAUAUAGGCCAGGCAAUAGUUAAGUUAGAAUUUAAAAAACUUUGUUCCAUCAACUCAUCCAUUUAUAUGCUUUCGUAAUUGUUUACCCAGUUUACUAGGAUGAGCCAAUUUCGAAAGGGUCCAAUGUUGUCACAGCUGGGCUGGACUAUGCUAAGAGGAAAGAAUUUUUCUAGAUCUCAUUCAAUAUUGGGACCAGGAACAACAGCUGCCUGAGCCAACAGUUCUGAUGAAUAUGGGACAGAGAGAACUGAAACCAUGGGAAGCUUAAGCUUGCUUACCAUCUGAGAAAACCCUAACAAAAUUUAAAACUUUAAUAAGAAACCAUAUGAUCCAAGAUACCGACACUCAUUAGCUUUCAACUGUCCUUACCAAUGAAUCCAUUAGCAAUUAAACAAGACCAUGGGUUUCGUGUUAGAUUUAAUUUCUUCAGGGUACCAGUUUUAUGGCUUGGGGCAAGUUCCUUAACUUUCCUGAGGCUUUUCUACCCACGAAGUGGAGAUAAUAAAACUUCUCUGAUCUUCCUCUCUAGGUUUGUGAAAAUUAAAUAAGCAAGCAUAUGAACACUUUUUAUAAACUGUACAGCACUGUAAAAUUUUAAUUAUCAUUAUCAAUUAGCAUUUAACUAUAAAACUUCCUUAAUUAAGCUCAAUUUUAAAUUUAGUAACAACAUGAACUUGAAACUAUGCUUUGGGGGGCUUACAUGUUACCAAUGUCAAUUUUUUUUUUUCUUUUGAGAUGGAAUCUUGCU
rnacentral:lncRNA from 10 species